rnacentral:rRNA from 1 species
AUGGAGGCGACGGGGGUGAGCUUGGGGAAGGCCGCGCUGGGCGGUGCACUGGGCUAUGCCACGUCCAAGGCGGCGGAGGAGAUCGCCCUGCAGCUUGGCGUCGAGCGCGAUGUGAACUUCAUCAGGGACGAGCUGCAGAUGAUGCAGUCGUUCCUGAUGACGGCUGAUGAGGAGCAAAGCCAGAACAAGGUGCUCACCACCUGGGUGAAACAGAUUGGGGUCCUGGCCUACAAAGUGGAGGACAGCCUCAUGGAUUUUGGCCUCCACUCAGAGAAAAGGCCAUUUUUGGGGUGCAUUCCCCGCAACCCAGGUGACCGACGCCGCAUCGCCAAGGAGGUGAAGGAGCUGAGGGCUGAGGUGGAGGAUGUGAGCAACAGGAACCUGCGCUAUCGCCUCAUCAAGGAGAGCUCAUGCUCCAAUCCUACCGCGGCAGAGGAGCAGGCCAGCAUUGCCAGUGUGGCAAUGUUUGGCAUCACAGAAGCAAGGUUUGCCACCUUUGUGCAUGAAAAAUCAUCAGUGGUGGACCUCCAUCAGCUGAUUAACAGCAACGAUGUGAACCUUAGGGUAAUUGCCAUGUGGGGAACUUGCGGUGAUAUUGGGAAGACAUCCGCCAUCCAGGAGAUUUAUGAUGACCCGAAGGUAUUGAAAAGGUUUGGCUUCCAUGCUUGGAUUAGAUUGAUGCAUCCUUUCAAUCCACAAGAGUUCCUCCGGAGCUUGGUAAGGCAGUUUUAUGAAAAUUCACAUGAUGAGGUUGGAAAGCCAUCUUUCAAUCCACAAGAAUUUCUUCAGAGCUUGGAAAGGCAAUUUUAUGAAAAUUCCUAUGAUUACGUUGGAAAGCCUGGAAAAGAAACAAGUGUUGGGGCUGUUCUGGCCAAGAUGGAGAAGAUGGAUCAAAGUGAUUUAGUCCAUGUGUUUAAUGCACUGUUGUGUAGCAAUAGCUACCUGGUUAUCAUAAAUGACCUGUCCACGAUAGAAGAGUGGCAUUGCAUUAAGAAGUACUUUCCUGACAACAAGAAACAAAGUAGAAUCAUCGUUUCCACGCAGCAAGUUGAAAUUGCAUGCUUGUGCACAGAGAAACCGUACCAAGUUUCAGAGUUCAAGCAGUUGUCCUGUGAUCAAACUAUUUAUUUGUUCCACAAGAAGAAUUCAGUGGGACAGGUUAACAUGGGCACUGUUAGUGUAGCAAUGGUCGACAACAACGACGAAGCAAAGGCUGCUACCGUGGAGGAGAAACUGAAGGUUAACCGAGCAUCAUGUUCCACCGAGCCUAUUUCCUACAGAAACAAAGUUGCUACCAGUGAGACAGACACAGCAUUGCCCAGCGAUGAAAUACAUGAGGAAAACCCAGAACCUAACAUUGCAGGUGAAGACAAAAUUUGUAACUCAACUGCUAGAAAGAAGUUUGAUCGCAGCAGGACACUGGCACUGGCUGAUGAAUUGCUUUGUGGGCGAGAAACAGAGAAAUUUUUUCUUAUCAAAUUAGUUGGCCAGCCCGACAACAAGAAGUGUUGUACGGUGAUCUCAGUUUGGGGAAUGGGAGGUCUUGGGAAAACCUCUCUUGUUCGAAGCAUCUACCGGAGCCAAGAACUUGGUGGCUGGAAGCGUGCUUGGGCCACUGCAUUGCGUCCUUUUAAGCCAGAAGUACUCCUUAGAGAUUUGGCUUUGCAGCUUCAGAAUACUAUCCAAGAAGAUCCGGCUGGAGCAACAACUGGGGCACAGAAGAAAAGCAUAUCAGUGAUGAAUCUUCAAGAGUUGAAGGAGGAACUAGCUCGGGUACUAAAAAUGAAAAGGUGCCUUGUUGUUCUUGAUGAUAUAUUGUCCACCUCUGAGUGGGAGUUGGUCAAAUCGUGUUUGUAUAAUGCUGGAAGGAUCAUAGUCACCACAAGAGAAAACAGUAUUGCCAAACAUUGUUCAGUAGAGGACAAGAACAGGUACCAUCUUGGUGGUCUGAAAAAGGAUGCUGCACUUGACCUCUUAAAAAAGAAGGUAUUCAAGGACAAUAGUGAAAAAACAGAUUUAGUCCCAGCUAUGAUGGAGCAAGCAAGACUUAUCCUGCAGAAAUGUGAUGGACUUCCUCUUGCAAUAUCCACUAUCGGUGGAUUCCUAGCCACUAAACCAAAAACUGCUAUUGAAUGGAAGAAGAUGAGUGAUGGUAUUAACACUGAAUUGGAGAUAAAUUCUGAACUUAGGACAAUAAAGACAAUUCUAAUGAGGAGCUACGAUGGUUUGCCAUACCGUCUGAAGUCUGCUUUCUUAUACUUAUCUAUAUUUCAAGAAGACCAGAGAAUUAGGUGGGGUCGCUUGGUGAGGCGGUGGACUGCAGAGGGUUAUUCAAGGGAUAUGCAUGGCAUGACUGCAAUUGAACUUUGUCGGAGGUACUUUGAUGAGCUCUUGGAUAGGAGUAUGAUUCUGCCAGGUGAAGGGACAGACCGAUACAGUCAGAAAAUCAAUUCUUGCCAACUUCAUGAUAUGAUCCGUGAAAUAUGCAUAUCAAAGGCUAGGGAGGAAAACCUUGUUUUGACGCUGGAGGAAGGAUGUUGUUUGAGUGACACACAAGGUGCAAUACGCCAUCUUGUCAUUGGCAGCAACUGGAAAAGGGAUAAAGAUGUGCUGGAGAGCAAGCUAGACUUGUCACAUGUACGGUCAUUGACUGUGUUUGGAGAGUGGAGAUCAUUUUUCAUCUCCGACAAUAUGAGGUUUGUGCGAGUGCUUGACUUAGAGGACACACUAGGGUUAAGAGAUCAUCAUCUUGAUCAAAUUGGGCAGCUCCGUCACCUCAAGUACCUUUCUCUUCGAGGAUGUUGCAGCAUUUUAUGCCUGCCUAAUUCCUUCCAGAAUUUGAGGCACCUCGAAACACUGGAUGUUAGAGGUACACAUAUAUCUGAUUUGCCAACAACAAUCACCAAUCUUCGGAAGCUACAGCACCUUCGGGCAGAUGGUUAUUGGGACCGUGUCAAGAGAGAGGAUGACAUAGUUGAUAAGCAUGAAAAUUACAUUAAUCGUAUUUCCACAUGUCAAACAUGCAAUGUUUUGUUGUCCAGAGGUCAUCUUUUCUUGAGACCACAAGUUCUAGAUGCUGGUUUGAACAGGUAUGAUAUAUUCAAUCUAUACCGCUUCCAGGAGAUGAAGCUAGAUGGCGUUGUACUUCCUAAAGGGAUUGGUAAGUUGAAGGCCCUUCAUGCACUAGGUGUUGUGGAUGUUUCCGGGAGAAACGGAAAUGCCACUAUAAAAGAGUUUGGAGAGCUUACUCAGCUACGUAAGCUUAAAGUGGGUGGUCUGAGCUACAGAACCAUCAAUGAGUUAUGGUCUGCCAUUGCUGGUCAUAAUCAACUUCAAUCUUUAACAGUUGAAAUAGGGGACCUGCAUGAAGAGAAGAACAUGUUAGAUGGCUGUUUGGGUGAGGAUUUGUUGCCACCAAGCAGCCUCGAGAGCCUCGCUCUGCAUGGUAGGCUAGUCAAUGUAACAAAAUGGAUCCAUAAGCUUCAGAAUCUCUCCAAGUUGGUGCUAACCAAUAGCAGAUUGGAGCAAGAUGAUGCCAUACAAGCCCUCGGGGUGCUACCAAAUAUAGCAGUACUACGUCUGCACUAUGACUCGUUCAGGGGGACACAGCUUCAUUUGCAGAGGUCAUCUUUCCCUAGCCUCAUGGUGCUGGAGCUCCGAAGGUUAUACAAGCUCCAGUCGGUGGUGUUUGAAGAAGACACAAUGCCCAAGCUUGAGCUGCUACACAUUGGUGUGUGCGAGGAGCUGAAGGACAUCUGCGGGCUGUCAGCCCUCAAAAGCCUCAAAGAAAUCCAGUUGCCUAAAUAUGGUGACAGUUUAUACAGUAAAAUAUUUGAGGCGCAGAGGGAAGCGGUGGAGAGUCAGGUAGCGGAGCACGUGAGAGUGAACAUUAUUGACUGA